rnacentral:rRNA from 1 species
GACGAACGCUGGCGGCGUGCUUAACACAUGCAAGUCGAACGAAGAGCGAUGGAAGCUUGCUUCUAUCAAUCUUAGUGGCGAACGGGUGAGUAACGCGUAAUCAACCUGCCCUUCAGAGGGGGACAACAGUUGGAAACGACUGCUAAUACCGCAUACGAUCUAAUCUCGGCAUCGAGGAUAGAUGAAAGGUGGCCUUUACAUGUAAGCUAUCACUGAAGGAGGGGAUUGCGUCUGAUUAGCUAGUUGGAGGGGUAACGGCCCACCAAGGCGAUGAUCAGUAGCCGGUCUGAGAGGAUGGACGGCCACCAUGGGACCUGGACACGGCCCAGGCUCCUACGGGAGGCAGCAGUUGGGGAUCUUCCGCAAUUGACGAAAGUCUGACGGAGCAACGCCGCGUGGGUGAUGACGGCCUUCGGGUUGUAAAGCUCUGUUAAUCGGGACGAAAGGCCAUCUUGCGAAUAGUGAGAAGUAUUGACGGUACCGGAAUAGAAAGCCACGGCUAACUACGUG